rnacentral:rRNA from 1 species
GACAGAGGGUGCAAACGUUGUUCGGAUUUACUGGGCGUAAAGCGCGCGUAGGCGGCUUUGCAAGUCGGAUGUGAAAGCCCACGGCUCAACCGUGGAAGUGCAUCCGAAACUGCAUGGCUGGAGUCUCGGAGAGGAAGGUGGAAUGCUUGGUGUAGAGGUGAAAUGCGCAGAUAUCAGGAGGAACACCGGUGGCGAAGGCGGGUCUCUGGGCCGUAACUGACGCUGAGGAGCGAAAGCAUGGGGAGCGAACAGG